GAUGAACGCUGGCGGCGUGCUUAACACAUGCAAGUCGAACGGAAAGGCCCAAGCUUGCUUGGGUACUCGAGUGGCGAACGGGUGAGUAACACGUGGGUGAUCUGCCCUGCACUUCGGGAUAAGCCUGGGAAACUGGGUCUAAUACCGGAUAGGACGAUGGUUUGGAUGCCAUUGUGGAAAGUUUUUUCGGUGUGGGAUGAGCUCGCGGCCUAUCAGCUUGUUGGUGGGGUAAUGGCCUACCAAGGCGUCGACGGGUAGCCGGCCUGAGAGGGUGUACGGCCACAUUGGGACUGAGAUACGGCCCAGACUCCUACGGGAGGCAGCAGUGGGGAAUAUUGCACAAUGGGCGCAAGCCUGAUGCAGCGACGCCGCGUGGGGGAUAACGGCCUUCGGGUUGUAAACUCCCUUCGCUAGGGACGAAGCGUUUUUGUGACGGUACCUGGAGAAGAAGCACCGGCUAACUACGUG
rnacentral:rRNA from 1 species